UACGAAGGGGGCGAGCGUUGUUCGGAUUUACUGGGCGUAAAGGGCGCGCAGGCGGUCUUGAAAGUCAGGCGUGAAAGCCCCGGGCUUAACCUGGGAAUUGCGCCUGAUACUCUGAGACUGGAGUACGGGAGAGGAGAGUGGAAUUCCCAGUGUAGAGGUGAAAUUCGUAGAUAGUUGGGAAGAACACCAGUGGCGAAGGCGGCUCUCUGGACCGUAACUGACGCUGAGGCGCGAAAGCGUGGGGAGCAAACAGG
rnacentral:rRNA from 1 species